rnacentral:rRNA from 1 species
UACGGGGGGGGGCAAGCGUUGUUCGGAAUUACUGGGCGUAAAGGGCUCGUAGGCGGCCAACUAAGUCAGACGUGAAAUCCCUCGGCUUAACCGGGGAACUGCGUCUGAUACUGGAUGGCUUGAGAUUGGGAGAGGGAUGCGGAAUUCCAGGUGUAGCGGUGAAAUGCGUAGAUAUCUGGAGGAACACCGGUGGCGAAGGCGGCAUCCUGGACCAAUUCUGACGCUGAGGAGCGAAAGCCAGGGGAGCAAACGGG